rnacentral:miRNA from 1 species
CCUGGAACUCACUUUGUAGACCAGGCUGGCCUCGAACUCACAGAGAUCUGCCUGCCUCUGCCUCCUGAGUGCUGGG